CACGUAGGGCGCAAGCGUUGUCCGGAAUUAUUGGGCGUAAAGAGCUCGUAGGCGGUCUGUUGCGUCCGCUGUGAAAACUCGGGGCUUAACCCCGAGCCUGCAGUGGAUACGGGCAGACUAGAGGUAGGUAGGGGAGAAUGGAAUUCCCGGUGUAGCGGUGAAAUGCGCAGAUAUCGGGAGGAACACCGGUGGCGAAGGCGGAUCUCUGGGCCAUUACUGACGCUGAGGAGCGAAAGCGUGGGGAGCGAACAGG
rnacentral:rRNA from 1 species